UACGUAGGGUGCAAGCGUUAUCCGGAAUUAUUUGGGCGUAAAGAGCUCGUAGGCGGUUUUGUCGCGUCUGCUGUGAAAACCCGAGGCUCAACCCCGGACUUGCAGUGGGGUACGGGCAGACUAGGAGUGUGGUAGGGGGAGACUGGAAUUCCUGGGUGUAGCGGUGAAAUGCGCAGAUAUCAGGAGGAACACCGAUGCGAAGGCAGGUCUCUGGGGCCACUACUGACUG
rnacentral:rRNA from 1 species